rnacentral:lncRNA from 1 species
AUUUUUCUUUUUAAAUGGGUUCUCCGUUAUUUUUAUUUUGGAUCCUUCAUUUUGAAAUUGUUUUCAAAAACAUCCAAAAUGCAAAUAUUUAAAAAACAAUUCUAAAAAAUUAAAAUUAAAUAUUUUAUUAUUAUUCUUAAAAUUAAUUUAUGCCAUCUCGAGUCUAAAUUUCUGGCGUGGGAUAUUACAUAUUUUGAUCAGUGUCAAUACAAAAUCCAUAGUUGUGCACUUAAGAUAGGAGUGAUCUUGAUCUAGUUAUGCAUC